rnacentral:lncRNA from 1 species
GGUUUAUAUCUAAUGUAGUGUAUUUGAUUCCACAUUAUUAGGACAGGCUCAGACAACGCUGGCUUUAUAUCUAAUGUAGUGUAUUUGAUUGCACAUUAUUAGGACAGGCUCAGACAUUGCUGGGUUUAUAUCUAAUGUAGGGGAUCUGACUGUAUGUUAUCAGGACAGGCUCAGACAUUGCUGGGUUUAUAUCUAAUGUAGGGGAUCUGACUGUAUGUUAUCAGGACAGGCUCAGACAUUGCUGGGUUUAUAUCUAAUGUAGGGGAUCUGACUGUAUGUUAUCAGGACAGGCUCAGACAUUGCUGGGUUUAUAUCUAUUGUAGGAGAUCUGACUGUAUGUUAUCAGGACAGGCUCAGACAGCGCUGGGUUUAUCAGGACAGGCUCAGACAGCGCUAGGUUUAUAUCUAAUGUAGGGGAUCUGACUGUAUGUUAUCAGGACAGGCUCAGACAUUGCUGGGUUUAUGACUAAUAGGGAAUCUGACUGUAUGUUAUCAGGACAGGCUCAGACAGCGCUGGGUUUAUAUCUAAUGUAGGGGAUCUGACUGUAUGUUAUCAGGACAGGCUCAGACAUUGCUGGGUUUGUAUCUAAUGUAGGGGAUCUGACUGUAUGUUAUCAGGACAGGCUCAGACAUUGCUGGGUUUAUAUCUAAUGUAGGGAAUCUGACUGUAUGUUAUCAGGACAGGCUCAGACAGUGCUGGGUUUAUAUCUAAUGUAGGGGAUCUGACUGUAUGUUAUCAGGACAGGCUCAGACAGCGCUGGGUUUAUAUCUAAUGUAGGGGAUCUGAUUGCACAUUAUUAGGACAGGCUCAGACAGCGCUGGGUUUAUAUCUAAUGUAGGGGAUCUGACUGCACGUUAUCAGGACAGGAUCAGACAUUGCUGGGUUUAUAUCUAUUGUAGGAGAUCUGACUGUAUGUUAUCAGGACAGGCUCAGACAGCGCUGGGUUUAGAUCUAAUGUAGGGGAUCUAACUGCAUGUUAUCAGGACAGGCUCAGACAUUGCAAGGUUUGUAUCUAAUGCAGGGCAUCUGGCUGCACAUUAUCAGGACAGGCUCAGACACAGAGCAGAGUUUAUUUCUAGCGUAAAAUUACCUCCUUUCCAAGACAGACAAUUUAUGUCAGAGUGAACUACUAAAUCCAUUUGAAUAUGCAUGUUCAUAUCCAAAUCUACCUCUCUCUGUGUGUGGUAUCAGCUACAUAAUCUCCUGGCCAUUAAAGGGUUUCUGCAGGUGGAAAUAAACUUCCCUAAAUGCAGGAGAGAGGAGGCAGUAAGAAGAGGAAGCAAUGACCCAACCACCUACUGUGAGGGACUAUUUUAGGGAUCCAAAAAGGGGAAGGUAGUCAUUCUGUUAUUCUCUAUAUGGGUAUAUAAAGGUGGGGCACGCAAACAUGAAAAGAGGAACGGCUUUAUCCCCCUGCCCCCUACCUAAGUGUAGUAAAGGUGCUUUAUUUAAUAAAACCCAAGUUCCCAAUUUUAUCCCAGUAACAUUGGUUUUCUACGCAAGGCACCAACGUGAUCUGCAGCGUAGUACAAUAAGCAAUGAUAUACAAUUAAUUGUGACAAAAAAAAAUGUUUGGCAUAAUAUAAAGGCACCGAUCAUGUGAAAAACAGCAUUCUGUGCUUUGUCGCUAACCGUUUCUGACACAAGUUAUGAAAUUUCUGCAAGUUUGUUUUUGUAUUGAGGCCUAAAACGAAAUGACGCAAUUUUCAUUGUUUUGGCUCUGUACCAACACAAUGCAUUUUAAAUUAAACAACCGAGAUGCAACUGAAGUGCAGAUGUUCCGCUUUAAUUCAAGCGGUUGAACAAACAUGUUGAAUUAAAUGUGUAGGAAUUGCAAUCAUUUUCAUACACACUCCCCUUAUUUCGGGGGCUUGAAUGCAAUUGGACAAAGGAACACAAUAAUAAAUAGAAUGUCCAUUUUUAAUACUUUGUCGAGAACCCUUUGCGGGCAAUGACUGCUUAAAGCCUGGAACGCAUGGACAUCACCAAACGCUGUGUUUCCUCCUAUAUGAUGCUUUGCCAAGUCUCUACUGUAACUGUCUUCGGUUCUUGUUUCCUUGUGGGUCUUUCUGCCUUAAGUUUGGUCUUCAGCAAAUGAAAUGCAUGGUCGAUCAGGGUUGAAAUCAAGUGAUUAACUAGGCCAUUGCAGAACAUUCCACUUCUUUGCCUUAAUAAACAAAUGGAUUGCUUUCUCGGUAUGUUUUAGGUCAUUGUCCAUCUGUAAAGUGAAGUGUCGUCCUAUCAACAUGACUAAAUUUGGUUGAAUCUGAGCAGACAGUAUAUCCCUAUACACUUAAGAAUUUAUCCGGCUGCUUCUAUCACAUCAUCAAUAAACACUAAUGACCCGGUGCCAUUGGAAGCCAUGCAUGCCCGUGCCACCACUCUGCCUCCACUGUGUCUUGCAGCUGAUGUUCUUUGCUUUGGAUUAUGAGCCAAACCUUCGCCAUACUUUUUUCUUCCCAUCAUUCUAAUACAGGUUAAUUUUAGUUUCAUCUGUCCAAAGAAUUCUGUUCCAGAACUGGCCUGGCUUUUUUUGGUUGUACUCUAAUCUGGCCUCCCUAUUCUUGAGGCUUAUGAAUGAUUUGCGCCUUGUGGUGGACCUGUUGUAUUGGCUCCUAUAAAGUCUUCUCUUUAUGGUAGACUUGGAUAAUGAUAAACCUUCCUCCUGGAGAGUGUUCCUCACUUGGCUGGAUGUUGUGAAUGGGUUUUUCGUUUAAUGGAAAGGAUCCUACGAUCAUCCACCACUGUUGUUUUCCAUGGACGCCCAGGCCUCUUCGUGUUGCAGACCUCUCCAGUGCGUUCCCUCUCUUCUCAGAAUGUCCCAAACUGUUUUUUGCAGCCGAAAGGUUGGCCUGUUUCAGUUGCAUUGAGAGCUCCUUUGACCGCAUGUUGUGGGUUCACAGCAACUGCUUCCAAAUGCAAACGCCACACCUGGAAUCAACUCCAGACCUUGCUGCAUAUUAAAGAGCUGUAAUUCCUAAACCCUUCCUCCACUUUGAAUGUGAAUACCCUCAAAUUAAAGCUGAGAGACCGCACCUUAAGCCCAUAUUCAUUAUUUAACUGUAACUUAAAUUUAUUUUGGUAAACAGGCAAAGUAACAAAACUUGUCAGUGUGCAAAUAUUUCCAGACCUAAAUGUGUAAUGCCUCAUUUUUGUUAUCAUGUAAAAUGUUCAGUAAGGUAUCUCACAAGCCAGAGCUGCGGUAAAACAAACUGGACUUAUGACAACCACUUGCAGUAUGAGAGGGAGUAUAAUAACUUAAAAUAAAUCGAGAAUUAUAACAUCUGUGAUAGCUGAUUGGUAAUCCCAUAUAGAGACAUAGCUAAACAGAGUAUCGGAGGUAAUCCCAUAUAGAGACAUAGCUAAACCGAGUAUCGGGCACAAUCCCAUGUAGAGACAGUGCUAAACAGAGUAUUGGGCACAAUCCCAUAUAGAGACAGAGCUAAACAGAGUAUUGGGCACAAUCCCAUAUAGAGACAGAGCUAAACAGAGUAUUGGGCACAAUCCCAUAUAGAGACGUAGCUAAACAGUAUUGGGCACAAUCCCAUAUACAGGGAGUGCAGAAUUAUUAGGCAAAUGAGUAUUUUGACCACAUCAUCCUCUUUAUGCAUGUUGUCUUACUCCAAGCUGUAUAGGCUCGAAAGCCUACUACCAAUUAAGCAUAUUAGGUGAUGUGCAUCUCUGUAAUGAGAAGGGGUGUGGUCUAAUGACAUCAACACCCUAUAUCAGGUGUGCAUAAUUAUUAGGCAACUUCCUUUCCUUUGGCAAAAUGGG